rnacentral:rRNA from 1 species
UACAGAGGGGGCAAGCGUUAUUCGGAAUUAUUGGGCGUAAAGGGCGCGUAGGCGGCCUGGCAAGUGGAUGGUGAAAUCCCUCGGCUUAACCGAGGAACUGCCAUCCAGACUGCUUGGCUUGAGACCGGGAGAGGUGAGUGGAAUUCCCAGUGUAGCGGUGAAAUGCGUAGAUAUUGGGAGGAACACCAGUGGCGAAGGCGGCUCACUGGACCGGUACUGACGCUGAUGCGCGAAAGCGUGGGGAGCAAACGGGG